GAUGAACGCUGGCGGCGUGCUUAACACAUGCAAGUCGAACGAUGAAGCCCAGCUUGCUGGGUGGAUUAGUGGCGAACGGGUGAGUAACACGUGAGUAACCUGCCCUUAACUCUGGGAUAAGCCUGGGAAACUAGGUCUAAUACCGGAUAGGAGCGCCUACCGCAUGGUGGGUGUUGGAAAGAUUUAUCGGUUUUGGAUGGACUCGCGGCCUAUCAGCUUGUUGGUGAGGUAAUGGCUCACCAAGGCGACGACGGGUAGCCGGCCUGAGAGGGUGACCGGCCACACUGGGACUGAGACACGGCCCAGACUCCUACGGGAGGCAGCAGUGGGGAAUAUUGCACAAUGGGCGAAAGCCUGAUGCAGCGACGCCGCGUGAGGGAUGACGGCCUUCGGGUUGUAAACCUCUUUCAGUAGGGAAGAAGCGAAAGUGACGGUACCUGCAGAAGAAGCACCGG
rnacentral:rRNA from 1 species